rnacentral:rRNA from 1 species
AAGGGCCAGGCUGAAGACUUUGCCGGAUUAGCUGAGAGGUGGUGCAUGGCCGUCGUCAGUUCGUACUGUGAAGCAUCCUGUUAAGUCAGGCAACGAGCGAGACCCACGCCCACAGUUGCCAGCGUACUCUCUGGAGUGACGGGUACACUGUGGGACCGCCGCUGCUAAAGCGGAGGAAGGAAUGGGCAACGGUAGGUCAGUAUGCCCCGAAUAUCCCGGGCUACACGCGAGCUACAAUGGUUGAUACAAUGGGUAUCUACCCGAAAGGGGACGGGAAUCUCCUAAAACCAAUCUUAGUUCGGAUUGAGGGCUGCAACUCGCCCUCAUGAAGCUGGAAUCCGUAGUAAUCGCGUUUCAACAGAACGCGGUGAAUACGUCCCUGCUCCUU